GGAGGGGUGUCCGAGCGGUUUAAGGAGCCGGUCUUGAAAACCGGUGAUGCGUCAGCACCGUGGGUUCGAAUCCCACCCCCUCCGCCA
rnacentral:tRNA from 1 species